rnacentral:rRNA from 1 species
UUUGGGGCUUGUUUGAAUGGUUUGACGGAGUAAUAAUGAAUAUCUGAUAUUUUAUUGAAAUUGGUUUAGGGGGUACAGAAUCCCCUGUGAUUAAUUAGACGGAAAGACCCUGGGAUCUUUCAUUUUGCCUGGGGCAGGUGGUAGUAUUUUACUAUUAUUGUGUUCCUUAUAUGGAUUAGUGAGUUAAGUUACCCCAGGGAUAACAGUGUUAUAGUUAAUUAGAGGUCUUAUCGAAUUAGCUGUUUGCCACCUCGAUGUUGACUUAGGUUAGGCUCAGGCGCAGUAGUUUGAGUUUUGGGUCUGUUCGACCUUUUAACCUUCAUGAGUUGAGUUAAGACCGGCGUGAGCCAGGUCGGUUCUUAUCUAUUGUUGAGAUUUAUUAGUACGAAAGGACCGUAAAUCUUUUUAUUGAGUAUGCAGCUGUUGGUCUCAGCUUUGCAAAAGCUGAUGUGAAAAUUUCCAUGCUGUUUAACUAUGGCAAUAGGAAGUUUACUAUGUUAGCUGCAUAAAAAGAUUCUAUAGUACUUAAAUUUACGUUUUAAUUAGAUAAUUAGCAGUUAGUUUUUUAUUAGGAUUAAGGUCUUUUAAGAGGGUAGUAUUAAAGGGGAUAGGACACAGUGCCAGCAUCUGCGGUUAGUCUGUUUUCUUUGCUUUUUAUUAGGCUGUACUUGAGUAUUUAUAGGUAAGUUUAGGUGAAAUUUAUUUAUGAUUAUAUUAUAUACUCAGUUAGUAGGAAGCUAUUAUUUAUGACAGGGAUUAGAUACCCCAUUAGUGGAUAGAAGUAUUAU